AAUAGAUACCCGGGUAGUCCACCCCGUAAACGUUGGGAACUAGUUGUGGGGUCCUUUCCACGGAUUCCGUGACGCAGCUAACGCAUUAAGUUCCCCGCCUGGGGAGUACGGCCGCAAGGCUAAAACUCAAAGGAAUUGACGGGGACCCGCACAAGCGGCGGAGCAUGCGGAUUAAUUCGAUGCAACGCGAAGAACCUUACCAAGGCUUGACAUACACCAGAACACCCUGGAAACAGGGGACUCUUUGGACACUGGUGAACAGGUGGUGCAUGGUUGUCGUCAGCUCGUGUCGUGAGAUGUUGGGUUAAGUCCCGCAACGAGCGCAACCCUCGUUCUAUGUUGCCAGCACGUAAUGGUGGGAACUCAUGGGAUACUGCCGGGGUCAACUCGGAGGAAGGUGGGGAUGACGUCAAAUCAUCAUGCCCCUUAUGUCUUGGGCUUCACGCAUGCUACAAUGGCCGGUACAAUGGGCUGCGAUACCGUAAGGUGAGCGAAUCCCAAAAGCCGGUCCCAGUUCGGAUUGAGGUCUGCAACUCGACCUCAUG
rnacentral:rRNA from 1 species